ACACUCAUCCAUGGCCAUGCUUUGGCCUCUGCUCCUUCCCCAAGGCACGUGCUGGUUCUCCUGAGACCUUUAAAAGGAAGAUCUGGGCAUGACCUGGGAAAGCCUGAAAGAUUUCUGAUGGACCACAUCAAGGUGUAAGGGCUGCUGAGGCUCAGUUCUGGAGUGAUAACUUUGAAGUGCUGUGAGGAUCCACUGGAUUUUGGCACCAAUCCUGGGGAUGUGUUGGCAUCUUCACUCUACCCUCCUUCCCCAGGGUGAUAUUUGUCAGGGACCUCUCCAUGGUUUCAAACCAGGUCCAGAACUGGACACACCAUCCUGCACACCACAUUUAGAGGCUGGAACUGAUGCAAAGAAAGAGCAGAGAUACUGGAGCACAGCCUACGGGUUGGGAGAGAAAGGAGGAAAUAGCUGCAGCUUGGCGUCUCCUCUCUGACCAGCAGCCAGCUCCCUACCUUGGGAUGGAUCCAACAGGAGCACGGGAGCUCACAUCCAAGAAACCCCAGUGCUCUGCCAAGGCCACACAGGUAGCAAAGAGCCUGAUAGAAAGUCAAGUGAAACAUCUGGGAGCCUUUUUCUUUUAAUUUUUUCUGCUGCCUCCACUGUGUUUCAGGGCAGGAACUCUCUGAUCCUCUGCACAGAGGAUUUGCCAGAGCUCCAAAUGCUCCAAUCUCCAAGGAAGAACCCUUGGUGUGCACAAACUCACACCCAUGUCCAUCUAGGAAAUCUGGAUCAGAGGACAGCAACAAUAAUCCAAACCAAAAUGUCAGUUGAUUUAUUAGAAUCACAGAAUGGGUU